rnacentral:lncRNA from 1 species
GCAGACUGAGUAAAUUUCAUUAUAGACUCUGAAAACCUGAAGUACCGAUUUUGAGUGAUUUAUUAGAAAAAUAAUUUUGAGAUCUGAUGUUGAAGGCGUUUUUCCUGUGCGAUGACUACUAGAAGUACCACGGUUUAAAUGUUUCUAACUUCACUAUUUUGGAGCAAGAUGGAAUUUCUUUAAACUUACAUGCAUCUUUUUAUUUUUAAAAAGUAUGGGUGGCAGGAUUUUUUUUUAAGUUUUUAUGUUAUUAAAUAGUUUAUUAAAUAUUGCAUUGUUACUCAUUGAACCAUUUCUAGAAAAUUGAAACUAUUAAAUUAUUACUAUGUUGAUAGGCUUUAUAAUAGAAGGUGGUAAAUGUUAAGGAAACUUUUCUUGCUAACUGUACUCAUGUACCUAUUCAUUUUUAUCUUUUGAGGUUUUCUCACUUUUCAUGCUUUGCUAAAUUUAAUCUUCAAACAGUUGUGUCCUUGUGUCCAUCUGUGCCUUCCCCCUCCCCAAUUCGUAGUAAUUUAUUGUUUAAGAGGAUUUGAAUAUUUUCUGGCCAGGAGGAAAGGCAAGAUGAUAUCACAGGUUCUAUCUCUAGUGUGACUCACCUAUGAUGAAUAUUUACUUCUUUUGUUCUCACAGGCGGCGUAAAGAUAGACAUGAAGCUAGUGGGUUUUCAAGGCGACCUGACCCAGAUUCUGAUGAAGAUGAAGAUUAUGAGCGGGAGAGAAAGACAAAGAAUUACCCCGAGAUUUUCCUUAUGAAGAAGACUCCAGACCUCGAUCCCAGUCUUCCAAAGCUGCCAUUCCUCCCCCAGUGUAUGAAGAACAGGACAGACCGAGAUCUCCAACUGGGCCUAGCAACUCUUUCCUUGCUAACAUGGGGUAAUGAUUUUAAGUGUUACUAUCUAAGCAAAUGUAAAAAUGCCUUGAGAAACAGUUUGAGGUAUGGGCAGUCCCUUUGCGUAGAUUCAGCUUGUUUGAAAAUGGGGACAUUGAGGACUACAGGGAGACACUUGGUGAGUUCAGUCGCCCAGUGCCCUUCUCAAGGGAUUUGUGCUCAAGGUGAAACUGGUUUGUACACAACAAGUUUUGAAUGGUUUAGAUGUUGAGUAUUAUUUCUCUGGAUAGGAAGUUUCUGAUAACUACAUUUAUUAUUUACAUUAAUUUUAAUAACAUUUGCACAAAUAAAAUGAAUUAGCGUUAACUUGGGUUAUCUCCA